GCUAAUUGUUGCUUCCUGUAAUUCAUGCAAUAAGAAUAGUUAUGUUGCACUUUGCGCUUAAUAACGUGAGCUUGGAAGGUGUCGCCAGGAUGGUGUGCAUACCUUGCAUCGUGGUGCCAGUUCUUCUCUUUAUCUGGCACCGUUUCCUGCAACCAGUUUUCCUCACAUUUUGGAAUCCUUGGAGAAAAGUGACAGCUGGGACAGAAAAAAAGGGUGAAGAGAAAGAAGCCCCAAAUGGGUGUACAGCAUCAAAUGGAGCAGCAGUUGCCAAUGGUGAUCUUAUGUGUCCAUUUUCUGGAAAAGAGACAGGGUCAUCUGAAGCAGUAAUUGAAGAUAAGAAAAAUGAUUGAAUGAUGGGAAUGCCUGCAUUAGAAACAUUUAUAUACAGUAAUGUACAGAUCAGCCAUCACUAAUCUGGCAAUCAGUUAUCCGGUUCCAUCAAUAAUCCAGCACUAAUUUCGGUUAGCAUAAUUUCAAAUUUCAUCAUUAUACUGACUUAGAAAUUGUGCAGAUGGUUGUAAAUCCACAGUAGCAAGCCAGUGGAGGAUGAAAAUGAAGAUGUAGUAGAAAGUCUCUCUCUGUUGAUAGGUUAAUUAAGUGUAUUCUAACCUAGCCACUCUGUAAUCCGGCAAACUCAUUAAUCUGGCACACUACAGGUCCCAAUGACGCUGGAUUAGAGAUGGCCGACCUGUAUAUGUAUUCAACUGGAGGAACUUGGCUAUUAUAUGUGCUUUUAAGCAUUACACAUUUGUUGACACAGUAGAGCUGUAUCAACAAAUAAACCAUGUACAGUGCAGGUACAGCAUUUCUUUAAUAUUUUGUGUAUUGUAUCAUGAUGCUGCUAUGUACUGUACUAUAUAUUUUUGAUCAGUGAUCUUGUACAUUGCUCAUUCUCAAGCAUUCUGGAUUACUGAUGCUCUAUUGUAGUUGAUAAUUAUAUAUUUGUACCUUGAGAAUGUGUAUUCCUACAGAAAGUUAUUGUUUCACAGGCAUUUGUAAUAUAUUUUAUUUUGCAAAUGAAAACGUCUGCCUAUUAUUGUAUAGAUAAAAUCAAAAGUAUGUAGAUGAGUAGUUAAUUUUUCUGCCUUUUUUUUUUUUAUCUUUAUCACUAAGUGUGAAUUUCCAUGAAUGGUCUUUCUGUGACAGCUAUUUGUUUGCUCAUCAUCACCUAUAUAAUGUAAAGGAAACUAGAAGAUGACUUUUAAAUCUGUACCUUCAAAGCUGAUUAUUUAAUUAUUUUUCAUUUGUCUAAUGUUUUCAUGUGUUGCUGAAUAGCAAUAGCAAUUGAAAAUAUGGAAGGACAGCAGUACUUUGUACAGCUUAUUGCCUAGCAGUUGGCACUCAUACUUUAGCUCUUUCUCAGAGAAUAAAAAUUAUUUUGUCUUUUGAUGCAGAAUACAUACGAGUGAAGAUAAAACAGAAAGGCACAAUAACGUGACUAGAAAAAUAUACAAAUAACCCGCGUAUAGGAGAGAGGAGCUUACGACAAUGUUUUGGUCAUCAUAAGCUCCUCUCUCCUCAUAGUAUGACUUUGUAAAUGGUCCGAGUCAAACUGAAACGUUGUCGUAAGCUUCUCUCUCUUAUGUGUGGGUUAUUUGUCUGCAUAUGAGUGUGUUCAUACAUUAUAAGCCUAUCACUAUCUUUAAGUGUUUGAAUCACAGCUCAUAAAGGAAUCCAUAAAGGGCUUACCCACUGUUAAUAUUUUUGCACUUACAUUUAUCAGGACUCUUAACCCUUAACCCUUAAAUGGUUCAAACAUAUAUAUACGUGUUUUCAACAUCUGAAAGUAUGUAAAAAAAUGUAGAUCUUUUUUUUUGUUUUACAUGUGAAAACGUGUAAAAAAAACUUUUAUCUACAUUUUUUUUUGUUAUAUUUGAAAAUAUGUAAAAAAAAAAGUAGAUCUACUUUUGUAGCACUACGAAUUUGAACGUCGAUCUGUUUGGACCGCUUAAGGGUUAAACUGUCCAAACGUAGAUCUACGUUCACGUGCGUAGCGCUCCGGCCUUGAUUUUCCCCAUUUGAAAGUAUUUAAAAAAGAAAAGUAGAUCUACGUUUGGAGCCCCCCGCAUGUGGACAUAGAUCUAUGUUUGGACAGUUUAAGGGUUAAUGGAAUAAAAAGGUACAAUGAUAUUGAUUUACACAGGGUGCUAAUUGCUGUUUGUAUUUUGUUCUUGAUGGUAUAAGGUACAUACUGUACUAAUGUGCUGUUUAACCCUUUGACUGUUUCAGGCCCCUUUCUGAAACUGUCAUUCUGUCGCUAAAGUUUUGAAAAAAAAAAAAAUUAUUUUUCUUAUGAAAUGAUAAAGAAUCUUUUCCUGAUGGUAAUGACACCAAAAGUUCGAAAUUUGGUCGAAAACUCAUGGAAUUACGCUCCCGCGAAGUUAGCGGUCUCGGCGACAUAUGCGUAUCAGCGAUUUCGCCGACUUUAAGCCCUAUUUUCAGCGAAUUCCGUUGUUCCAGUUGACCAAACUCAUAGCUAUUUCUUUAGAACUCCAUUUUAUCUAUCAGCUGAGUACAAGAAACCUCCCAUUUACUAAUUUGGACUACCCAAUAUUGUGGUCAGAAAUUGGCAAUUUGGCCAAUUUCACGCAAACUAAAAAAGAUGCCAAUUUCAAAAUAGGGUCCAGAAUAAACAAGGUAGACAUUCUUGGCACUAAAAUAACAUAUCCUCUGUUCAUUAGUCACAUCUCUAGGCCCCUCUUAUAUUAUUAUUGCUUUCUAUUUUGAUUUUUUAUUCAUACAAAAAAAUACAAAAUUUACUGUUAUGCAGAUUACUGCAUUGUUGUAAAAAUGGUAAAAAUAAUAUCAGUGCACUAGUGAAAGAAUAUUAGACUCCCCAGUUGACGUGUAUUGGACGUGUGGUGUGAUUUGUUUACUCCUAAACAUUGGUAAAAAUCGAACAUUUCCGCUACUUUGAGCUCAGUUUCAAGGUCGUUUUCAUCGUCAAAGUAAUGAAAAUCAUCUCUAUUUCUGUAAUAUGUUUUCCAUUUUAUCACCUAAGAUCAUGAAAACGCAAAUACAUCGAUAAAUACUGUACGAAAGUACACCUCAAAGUCGGCGUUUUAAUCCAAAAAAACGAUCAGUUUUUUUUUUUCUCAUUACGCACUGUGUGCUGCAGGAUUUUUUUUAUGUGGUGCACACUGACCACACAGACCCAUUCUCUCACAUGUGGGCCUACCAGCUUUUUUCCGCUUGAUUUGAAGCCGCUAGAAUUAUUGAGUAUAUACGUAUACGUCAGAAACACUGGCUCGUAAGACGUAUAUAUGCGACCAAAACAGUCAAAGGGUUAAUCUUGAAUUUUAAUUUUAUGAUUUCACCACUUGCGAAACAACUUGGUAGCUAGUAGAACAUUGCAGAAAAUUUCAUGUUUCCUUUGUUGACCUGUCACUGGUAAAACUCUUGAAAUUAGAAAAAAACAUAAUUGUAUACAGUAUAAGUUAAUGUUAUAUUCCUUCAUAUAUUUAUAUGUAUACAGUACAUGUAUAUAAAAGUAUGAAAUUUAAGAAGUACUCCAUUGAGUUUAAAUAUUUACUAUAUUUAUCUUCAAAAUUAAGCAUGUUCAACAUGUUUAAUUUUAUUUUAUUAUUUGUUUCAAAUAUUAUUUCUGUGUCUUUAUUGUUUUUCAUGCUUCUUGAUUGUAUUCAUGCCCACUACUUCAUAAAAUAUUAAACUGAAUUUGUGUUGUAAGAAUAUAUUUAUCAAAUUAAAAUUUUAUUAUUCA